CUUCUACUCCCUCCGUCCGAAAAAGCUUGUUCCAAGCUUGUUUCUCGAAUGGAUGUAUUUAGCACUAACUUGGUGCUAGAUACAUUUAUUUGAAAAACAAAUUUUUUCGGACGAAAGAAGUAUUUA
rfam:Triticum aestivum genome assembly, contig: Triticum_aestivum_CS42_TGACv1_scaffold_290035_4AL